UGUCUGGGAAACUGCCUGAUGGAGGGGGAUAACUACUGGAAACGGUGGCUAAUACCGCAUAACGUCGCAAGACCAAAGAGGGGGACCUUCGGGCCUCUUGCCAUCAGAUGUGCCCAGAUGGGAUUAGCUUGUUGGUGAGGUAACGGCUCACCAAGGCGACGAUCCCUAGCUGGUCUGAGAGGAUGACCAGCCACACUGGAACUGAGACACGGUCCAGACUCCUACGGGAGGCAGCAGUGGGGAAUAUUGCACAAUGGGCGCAAGCCUGAUGCAGCCAUGCCGCGUGUAUGAAGAAGGCCUUCGGGUUGUAAAGUACUU
rnacentral:rRNA from 2 species